UUCCUCCUCGCUUUCCCACCAUGGAAUAACUAAACUUGCCCCCACCCACACUUCCAUCACCUCCUAGCACCCCACGAUUAUUUUGACCCUCUGGUCUUUUUGGAAGGAAGAUUCUGUCACUUCUUAACACCACCUGCCUGGAAAAACACACACACACACACACACACACACACACACACACACACACAGAGCCCCCCAAACCCAGGGAGGAAGAGGUCUUUUUUUUCCCUCUUUUCUUUUGCUCUGACUCCAGAGCUUCAGACUCCAAGCCUGAGCAGCCACAAUUUCUUACCAUGUAUUCUCCUUUUAAAACAUCUCCUUCCUGCACACGCUCAGUCCUUGCAGCCACGAUCUAACACAACUCCCCGCUUCUCGCCUGCAGGUUCUUUGCUCCCCAUCACUCAGCUGAUCCUGAUCUUUUUUCUCCUAUUUUUCCCCUCCCUGGGAGCUGAGAUUUCUUUUCCAUGCAAAGGGGUUCUUGCUUGCGGCUGGCAUGGCAGAGUACGUCCCCCAGCCUCCCACCACCUGGCCUGCAGGCCCACAGCCCCCUCAUGCCUCUGCCAUCUGCCCACUGGAGCCUGUGGAUCUGGGGGUCUUGGAGCAACAAACACCACCAGAGCAGCUGCCGUCCUCCCUGGAGCUGGAUGAGGAUGAGGAGGUCACCUCCCCGCCGGACCCUGAUGUCCCCUACCCCGACUUGGCCCCUGUUGUCUUCUUCUGCUUGAAGCAGACCACCAGCCCACGGAACUGGUGCAUCAAAAUGGUGUG